GACGAACGCUGGCGGCGUGCUUAACACAUGCAAGUCGUACGGUAAGGCCCUUUCGGGGGUACACGAGUGGCGAACGGGUGAGUAACACGUGAGUAACCUGCCCACAACUUUGGGAUAACGCUAGGAAAGUGGUGCUAAUACUGGAUAUGUGCUCCUGCUGCAUGGUGGGGGUUGGAAAGCUCCGGCGGCUGUGGAUGGACUCGCGGCCUAUCAGCUUGUUGGGGGGGUAGUGGCCUACCAAGGCGGCGACGGGUAGCCGGCCUGAGAGGGUGACCGGCCACAUUGGGACUGAGAUACGGCCCAGACUCCUACGGGAGGCAGCAGUGGGGAAUAUUGCACAAUGGGCGCAAGCCUGAUGCAGCAACGCCGCGUGCGGGAUGACGGCCUUCGGGUUGUAAACCGGUUUCAGCAGGGACGAAGCUUUUUGUGACGGUACCUGCAGAAGAAGCACCGGCUAACUACGUG
rnacentral:rRNA from 1 species